rnacentral:misc_RNA from 1 species
GAAAUGCGAUAAGUAAUGUGAAUUGUAGAAUUCAGUGAAUCAUCGAAUCUUUGAACGCACAUUGCGCUCGCCAGUAUUCUGGCGAGCAUGCCUGUUCGAGCGUCAUUUCAACCAUCAAGCUCUGCUUGCGUUGGGGAUCCGCGGCUGCCCGCGGUCCCUCAAAAACAGUGGCGGGCUCGCUAGUCACACCGAGCGUAGUAACUCUACAUCGCUAUGGUCGUGCGGCGGGUUCUUGCCGUAAAACCCCCAAUUUCUAAGGUUGACCUCGGAUCAGGUAGGAAUACCCGCUGAACUUAAGC